rnacentral:rRNA from 1 species
GAGAGAAUGCCGGAAUGAGUAGCGAGAGGAAGGUGAGAAUCCUUCCGGCCGAAUACCCAAGGUUUCCAGAGUAAAGCUGAUCUGCUCUGGGUAAGUCGGGGCCUAAGGUGAGGUCGAAAGACGUAGCCGAUGGACAACAGGUUGAAAUUCCUGUACUGCAGUAUAACAGAACUGUGGGGACGCAGAGGGAGAGCACUAGCGGGAAUGGAAUCCCGUGGCAAGCGAGGUAGGAGUAGAGUUGGCAAAUCCGCUCUAUAAUCCGAAGACGUGAUGCAUACCGAACUGAAGUAGGGAAAUGUGUGAGCCAGCUGCCAAGAAAAGCCGCUAUUGUUUGUACUGUACCCGUACCGUAAACCGACACAGGUAGGUGAGGAGAGAAUCCUAAGGCCGACGGGAGAAGCAUUGUUAAGGAACUCGGCAAAAUGACUCCGUAACUUCGGGAGAAGGAGUGCCAGUGAGAGCUGGCCGCAGAGAAUUGGCCCAAGCAACUGUUUAGCAAAAACACAGGUCUAUGCAAAACCGUAAGGUGAAGUAUAUGGGCUGACGCCUGCCCGGUGCUGGAAGGUUAAGGGGAGAGGUUAGCGCAAGCGAAGCUUUGAACUUAAGCCCCAGUAAACGGCGGCCGUAACUAUAACGGUCCUAAGGUAGCGAAAUUCCUUGUCGGGUAAGUUCCGACCCGCACGAAAGGCGUAAUGAUUUGGGCACUGUCUCGACAAUGCACCCGGUGAAAUUGAAAUACCAGUGAAGAUGCUGGUUACCUGCGCCAGGACGGAAAGACCCCAUGGAGCUUUACUCCAGCUUGAUACUGGGAUUCGGUAUUGUAUGUACAGGAUAGGUGGGAGGCUUUGAAGUGGUUACGCCAGUAGCCAUGGAGCCGCUGUUGGGAUACCACCCUUGCAGUACUGGGUUUCUAACCAGCAGCCGUGAUCCGGCUGGGGGACAAUGUCAGGUGGGGAGUUUGACUGGGGCGGUCGCCUCCGAAAGGGUAUCGGAGGCGCUCAAAGGUUCCCUCAGAAUGGUUGGAAACCAUUCGAAGAGUGCAAAGGCAGAAGGGAGCUUGACUGCGACACCGACGGGUGGAGCAGGUACGAAAGUAGGACUUAGUGAUCCGGUGGUAUAA